AGAGUUUGAUCCUGGCUCAGAACGAACGCUUGCUGCAUGCUUUAUACAUGCAAGUCGAACGAAGGCCCUAGCUUGCUAGGUGUCCUUAGUGGCGCACGGGUGAGUAACACGUGGGAACAUACCUUAUAGUACGGAAUAACUGCGGGAAACUGUAGCUAAUACCGUAUAUUCCAGUAAUGGGAAAGAUUUAUCGCUAUAAGAUUGGCCCGCGCAAGAUUAGCUUGUUGGUGAGGUAAAAGCUCACCAAGGCUUCGAUCUUUAGCUGGUUUGAGAGGAUGAUCAGCCACACUGGGACUGAGACACGGCCCAGACUCCUACGGGAGGCAGCAGUAGGGAAUAUUGGACAAUGGGGGCAACCCUGAUCCAGCAAUGCAGCGUGAGUGACGAAGGCCUUAGGGUUGUAAAACUCUUUCAUCGGUGAGGAUAAUGACAGUAGCCGAAGAAGAAGGACCGGCUAAUUCCGUGCCAGCCGCCGCGGUAAUAC
rnacentral:rRNA from 1 species